CACGCUGUACCAGCUGCGGCACUGAUAACGGGGCGGACUGCGCGAGGGGCGGGAUGAGGAGAGCAGCGGAGGAGGCCGUCCGCGCCGCAGUGAACGGGGGGAUGGCUGCAGGAGCACUGCCUGGUACAAGGCGGCAGGUAUCCACCUGGGGUCUUUCAAGUUCUCUGGUUACUGGGCACAUUUCUGAACGUACCACAGUGCCCGAGGUUCGAGGCACAUCACACAGCAUGAAGCACCAGAGCUCAGAAUCAGCAGCAGGUUUAGUAUCAUUGUCUUGUACGACAUGAAUUUGUCGGCACUGAGGAUCAUUACCACAUUCCGUACGAUGUCAACGCUCCUUCCUGAGAGACUUUUAGCCUGCAAGUUUAACCGCACCGUUAUCGCGCUCCCUGUCACACAAUAACUAUCCGACUUCUGUGGCGGCGAUUCUCGACCAGAAACUUCCCUGGUUAUUCGGUAUCACUUGGAAAAUCCGACCAGGCGCUUUGUGUCGCUAGUCAGCAGACAGGACCACCUCACCAGGGGCAAAAGGGGUUCGUUUUCCAUAGACUGUUGCCCACCAUCACUCCCGUCCAUCUCCAUCUGGGCAAAACCCUCAUCCCGCUACCUCUGCGGAGAACCAUCACCCCUUACACAAGAGAAUCCGCGGAGGAUCUUGACCUCUUGCUCCCUUCUCCUCCCCGCACCUUCUGACAGCGGAGAGGGCUUCCAGCCUUGCCGGAACGUUCUGCUCGGGUCUCUGGGCUGGGAUCGCGCUUCACGGAGCAGAAGCUCCAGCCAGCCGGUGCGGAGCUGACGAAAAUGGAGCGUGAACAAAGCAGCAGCACACUGCCGACAAAUCGCCAGCCCUGCCUCUGGCUGGAGGAUCGUCCACGCAGAACAGUCUCCCGGAAUCCCGAGGAUAGGCAGCGGGGAAAAUUCAUCCUCAGAACACACACACACAAUCUGCGAUGAGCUGCAGACUACCCAGUGCUGGCCUCUCCAGCAAAAGCAAGGGGCAGAGGGAUGGGGAUGUGGA